rnacentral:rRNA from 1 species
UACUUGUACCGACUGGAUGAGCAGCGAACGGGUGAGUAACGCGUGGGGAAUCUGCCUUUGAGCGGGGGACAACAUUUGGAAACGAAUGCUAAUACCGCAUAAAAACUUUAAACACAAGUUUUAAGUUUGAAAGAUGCAAUUGCAUCACUCAAAGAUGAUCCCGCGUUGUAUUAGCUAGUUGGUGAGGUAAAGGCUCACCAAGGCGAUGAUACAUAGCCGACCUGAGAGGGUGAUCGGCCACAUUGGGACUGAGACACGGCCCAAACUCCUACGGGAGGCAGCAGUAGGGAAUCUUCGGCAAUGGACGAAAGUCUGACCGAGCAACGCCGCGUGAGUGAAGAAGGUUUUCGGAUCGUAAAACUCUGUUGGUAGAGAAGAACGUUGGUGAGAGUGGAAAGCUCAUCAAGUGACGGUAACUACCCAGAAAGGGACGGCUAACUACGUGCCAGCAGCCGCGGUAAUACGUAGGUCCCGAGCGUUGUCCGGAUUUAUUGGGCGUAAAGCGAGCGCAGGUGGUUUAUUAAGUCUGGUGUAAAAGGCAGUGGCUCAACCAUUGUAUGCAUUGGAAACUGGUAGACUUGAGUGCAGGAGAGGAGAGUGGA